GAUCCUGGCUCAGGAUGAACGCUAGCUACAGGCUUAACACAUGCAAGUCGAGGGGAAACGACAUCGAAAGCUUGCUUCCGAUGGGCGUCGACCGGCGCACGGGUGAGUAACGCGUAUCCAACCUGCCCACCACUUGGGGAUAACCUUGCGAAAGUAAGACUAAUACCCAAUGAUAUCUCUAGAAGGCAUCCGAAUGGGAUUAAAGAUUUAUCGGUGAUGGAUGGGGAUGCGUCUGAUUAG
rnacentral:rRNA from 1 species